ACUAAGCGUACAAGGUGGAUGCCUUGGCAAUCAGAGGCGAAGAAGGACGUGCUAAUCUGCGAAAAGCUUGGAUGAGUCGAUAAGAGGCGUUUAAUCCAAGAUAUCCGAAUGGGGAAACCCAGUAGAUGAAGAAUCUACUAUCAACAAGUGAAUUCAUAGCUUGUUGAGGCAAACCGGGAGAACUGAAACAUCUAAGUACCCCGAGGAAAAGAAAUCAACCGAGAUUUCGUCAGUAGCGGCGAGCGAAAGCGAAAGAGCCAGUAAGUGAUAGCAAUAUAGUGAGGAGAAUGUGUUGGGAAGCACAAUCAAAGAGGGUGAUAAUCCCGUAUCUAAAAACCAUAUUGUGGUACUAAGCUAACGAGAAGUAGGGCGGGACACGUGAUAUCCUGUUUGAAGAAGGGGGGCCCAUCCUCCAAGGCUAAAUACUCCUGAUUGACCGAUAGUGAACCAGUACUGUGAAGGAAAGGCGAAAAGAACCCCGGUGAGGGGAGUGAAAUAGAACCUGAAACCUUGUACGUACAAGCAGUGGGAGCGAGGGCAACCUUGUGACUGCGUACCUUUUGUAUAAUGGGUCAGCGACUUAUAUUUUGUAGCGAGGUUAACCGAAUAGGGGAGCCGAAGGGAAACCGAGUCUUAACUGGGCGAAUAGUUGCAAGGUAUAGACCCGAAACCCGGUGAUCUAGCCAUGGGCAGGUUGAAGGUUGGGUAACACUAACUGGAGGACCGAACCGACUAAUGUUGAAAAAUUAGCGGAUGACUUGUGGCUGGGGGUGAAAGGCCAAUCAAACCGGGAGAUAGCUGGUUCUCCCCGAAAUCUAUUUAGGUAGAGCCUUGAGGUGACACCUUUGGGGGUAGAGCACUGUUUCGGCUAGGGGGCCAUCCCGGCUUACCAACCCGAUGCAAACUACGAAUACCAAAGAGUGAUACUCAGGAGACACACGGCGGGUGCUAACGUCCGUCGUGGAGAGGGAAACAACCCAGACCGCCAGCUAAGGUCCCCAAGUCUAUAUUAAGUGGGAAACGAAGUGGGAAGGCUUAGACAGCUAGGAUGUUGGCUUAGAAGCAGCCAUCAUUUAAAGAAAGCGUAAUAGCUCACUAGUCGAGUCGGCCUGCGCGGAAGAUGUAACGGGGCUGAAAUAUAGCACCGAAGCUGCGGCAUCAGAAUUUAUUCUGUUGGGUAGGGGAGCGUUGUGUAAGCGGAAGAAGGUUCAUCGAGAGGUGGGCUGGACGUAUCACAAGUGCGAAUGCUGACAUAAGUAACGAUAAAACGGGUGAAAAACCCGUUCGCCGGAAGACCAAGGGUUCCUGUCCAACGUUAAUCGGGGCAGGGUGAGUCGGCUCCUAAGGCGAGGCUGAAAAGCGUAGUCGAUGGGAAACAGGUUAAUAUUCCUGUACUUGGUAAAGCUGCGAUGUGGGGACGGAGUAGGUUAGGUUAUCGCACUGUUGGAUAUGUGCGUUUAAGUUGGUAGGUGGGAAGUUUAGGCAAAUCCGGACUUCCUUAACACAGAGAGAUGAUGACGAGGCUCUACGGAGCUGAAGUAACUGAUACCACACUUCCAGGAAAAGCCACUAAGCGAAAGGCUUUACUAAACCGUACUGAAAACCGACACAGGUGGUCAGGUAGAGAAUACUCAGGCGCUUGAGAGAACUCGGGUGAAGGAACUAGGCAAAAUAGCACCGUAACUUCGGGAGAAGGUGCGCCGGCGUAGAUUGUAAGGGCUAGCCCCUGAAGGUUGAACCGGUCGAAGAUACCAGCUGGCUGCAACUGUUUAUUAAAAACACAGCACUCUGCAAACACGAAAGUGGACGUAUAGGGUGUGAUGCCUGCCCGGUGCUGGAAGGUUAAUUGAUGGUGUCAUCGAAAGAGAAGCACCUGAUCGAAGCCCCAGUAAACGGCGGCCGUAACUAUAACGGUCCUAAGGUAGCGAAAUUCCUUGUCGGGUAAGUUCCGACCUGCACGAAUGGCAUAAUGAUGGCCAGGCUGUCUCCACCCGAGACUCAGUGAAAUUGAAAUCGCCGUGAAGAUGCGGUGUACCCGCGGCUAGACGGAAAGACCCCGUGAACCUUUACUAUAGCUUGACACUGAACAUUGAAUUUUGAUGUGUAGGAUAGGUGGGAGCCUUUGAAGCAGUGACGCCAGUCAUUGUGGAGGCGACCUUGAAAUACCACCCUUUAACGUUUGAUGUUCUAACGAAGAUGACGAAACGUGGUCUCGGACAGUGUCUGGUGGGUAGUUUGACUGGGGCGGUCUCCUCCCAAAGCGUAACGGAGGAGCACGAAGGUUUGCUAAUCACGGUCGGACAUCGUGAGGUUAGUGCAAUGGUAUAAGCAAGCUUAACUGCGAGACAGACAAGUCGAGCAGGUACGAAAGUAGGUCAUAGUGAUCCGGUGGUUCUGAAUGGAAGGGCCAUCGCUCAACGGAUAAAAGGUACUCCGGGGAUAACAGGCUGAUACCGCCCAAGAGUUCAUAUCGACGGCGGUGUUUGGCACCUCGAUGUCGGCUCAUCACAUCCUGGGGCUGAAGUAGGUCCCAAGGGUAUGGCUGUUCGCCAUUUAAAGUGGUACGCGAGCUGGGUUUAGAACGUCGUGAGACAGUUCGGUCCCUAUCUGCCGUGGGCGUAGGAUGAUUGAUUGGGGCUGCUCCUAGUACGAGAGGACCGGAGUGGACGCAUCACUGGUGUUCCGGUUGUGUCGCCAGACGCAUUGCCGGGUAGCUAAAUGCGGAAGAGAUAAGUGCUGAAAGCAUCUAAGCACGAAACUUGCCAAGAGAUGAGUCAUCCCUGACUUUAAGUCAGUAAGGGUUGUUGUAGACUACGACGUAGAUAGGUUGGGUGUGUAAGUGAUGUGAGUCAUUGAGCUAACCAAUACUAAUUGCCCGAGAGGCUUAACU
rnacentral:rRNA from 2 species